rnacentral:lncRNA from 1 species
GUCAGGAGCGCGCGCGGGCGGGGGAGCGCGGCCGCGGUCACCAGCGAGCGCCGCGCCGCGGCCCGAGACCCGCCCUGGGGCCCGAGCCGAGCCGGCUGGCUGCGGCGCCGCCGAGGGCCUGGGGGGCCGGAGGGCCCGGGCGGCGGCUGCCCCGCGGCCGCGGCGCGCAGGGCGAGACCCCGCCAACUUCGGCGGCCGGGCCCGGGCGGGGGCCGUGGGCGCGAGCGGAGCCGCCCGGAGCCGGCGCGUCGGCGGAGCGAGUGAUCACCCUCUGCCCCAUCCCACUCUUCGCAGAAAGGAGCUGCCACGAGACUGUGAGUGUUGACCGUGCGAGGACCAAGCUCUGGCCGCCUUGUGACUGGGCUCACGUGGCUCUUAGGGUGGCCGUGCUUUUUCAUCGUUGCUAGUGUGCUGUUUGCCUGAGAAGACUCAGCCCUCCGAUGGACCCCAGGGCCGUGUAAUCCCAAGUUAAUUAAAAAUAAACUUUUAUGAAUAUUUAAGAGUCA